GACAGAGGGUGCAAACGUUGUUCGGAAUUACUGGGCGUAAAGCGAGUGUAGGCGGUUUCCUAAGUCAGGUGUGAAAGCCCCGGGCUCAACCCGGGAAGUGCACUUGAAACUGGGAGGCUAGAGUAUCGGAGAGGUUGGUGGAAUUCUCGGUGUAGGAGGUGAAAAUUCGUAGAUAUUGGGAAGAACACCGGUGGCGAAGGCGGCUCACUGGCCCGUAACUGACGCUCAUGCACGACAGCGUGGGAUCAAACAGGG
rnacentral:rRNA from 1 species